AGAGUUUGAUCAUGGCUCAGAACGAACGCUGGCGGCAUGCCUAACACAUGCAAGUCGAACGAACCCUUCGGGGUUAGUGGCGCACGGGUGCGUAACACGUGGGAAUCUGCCCUUUGCUUCGGAAUAACAGUUAGAAAUGACUGCUAAUACCGGAUGAUGUCGUAAGACCAAAGAUUAUCGGCAAAGGAUGAGCCCGCGUAGGAUUAGGUAGUUGGUGGGGUAAAGGCCUACCAAGCCGACGAUCCUUAGCUGGUCUGAGAGGAUGAUCAGCCACACUGGGACUGAGACACGGCCCAGACUCCUACGGGAGGCAGCAGUGGGGAAUAUUGGACAAUGGGCGAAAGCCUGAUCCAGCAAUGCCGCGUGAGUGAUGAAGGCCUUCGGGUUGUAAAGCUCUUUUACCAGGGAUGAUAAUGACAGUACCUGGAGAAUAAGCUCCGGCUAACUCCGUG
rnacentral:rRNA from 1 species